GAUGAACGCUAGCGGCAGGCUUAAUACAUGCAAGUCGAGGGGCAGCAGGUCUGUAGCAAUGUAGAUGCUGGCGACCGGCAAACGGGUGCGGAACACGUACACAACCUUCCUUCGAGCGGGGAAUAGCCCGGGGAAACCCGGAUUAAUACCCCAUAGUAUGGUGAAGAGGCAUCUCUUUACUCUUAAAGAUUUAUCACUUGAAGAUGGGUGUGCGGCUGAUUAGCUAGUUGGCGGGGUAACGGCCCACCAAGGCAACGAUCAGUAACUGGUGUGAGAGCUCGACCAGUCACACGGGCACUGAGACACGGGCGCGACUACGACGGGAGGCAGCAGUAAGGAAUAUUGGUCAAUGGACGAAAGUCUGACCCAGCCAUGCCGCGUGGAGGAUGAAGGUCCUCUGGAUUGUAAACUUCUUUUAUCUGGGACGAAAAAAGGGAAUUCUUUUCCGACUGACGGUACCAGAUGAAUAAGCACCGGCUAACUCCGUGCUAGCCGCCGCCGUAAAAC
rnacentral:rRNA from 1 species